rnacentral:rRNA from 1 species
GACGAACGCUGGCGGCGUGCUUAACACAUGCAAGUCGAACGGAAAGGCCCUGCUUUUGUGGGGUGCUCGAGUGGCGAACGGGUGAGUAACACGUGAGUAACCUGCCCUUGACUUUGGGAUAACUUCAGGAAACUGGGGCUAAUACCGGAUAGGAGCUCCUGCUGCAUGGUGGGGGUUGGAAAGUUUCGGCGGUUGGGGAUGGACUCGCGGCUUAUCAGCUUGUUGGUGGGGUAGUGGCUUACCAAGGCUUUGACGGGUAGCCGGCCUGAGAGGGUGACCGGCGACAUUGGGACUGAGAUACGGCCCAGACUCCUACGGGGGGCAGCAGUGGGGAGUAUUGCACAAUGGGGGGAAGCCUGAGACAGCGACGCCGCGUGCGGGAUGACGGCCUUCGGGUUGUAAACCGCUUUCGCCUGUGACGAAGCGUGAGUGACGGUAAUGGGUAAAGAAGCACCGGCUAACUACGUG